CCCUUAGAUGUUCUGGGCCGCACGCGCGCUACACUGAUGCAUUCAACAAGCCUAGCCUUGACCGAGAGGUCCGGGUAAUCUUUGAAACUGCAUCGUGAUGGGGCUAGAUUAUUGCAAUUAUUAAUCUUCAACGAGGAAUGCCUAGUAAGCGUGAUUCAUCAAAUCGCGUUGAUUACGUCCCUGCCCUUUGUACACACCACCCGUCGCUCCUACCGAUUGAAUGUGUUGGUGAGGAGCUCGGAUUGGCAGCAGUUGGUGGUUCGCCACCGGCUAUUGCUGAGAAGUCCUCCAAACCGCCCCAUUUAGAGGAAGGAGAAGUCGUAACA
rnacentral:rRNA from 1 species